UUUGAAUUGAUGCAGAAAAAGCAUUUGACAAGAUCCAACAACACUCUUUCAUUAUAAGAACAUUCCAGGGACCAGUGAGACCACUUAGCAGGUAAGUCACUUGCUACACAAGCCAGGUGACCUGAUUCUCCUGAACCCACUUAAAAGUGGAAGGAGAAAGCUGACCUCAUGAACUUGUCCUAUCACUUCCAUAUGCACACCAUGGCACACACACUCAAAUACUAUACACACACUGUCAUUACACAUGCAACCAUGGCACACACACUCACAUACUACACACACACAGAGUCAUAACACAUGCAACCAUGGCACACAUACUCACAUGCUAUACACACACACAGUCUUAACAUAUGCAACCAUGACACACACAUACUCACAUACUACACACACAAUCAUAACACAUGCAACCAUGGCACACACACUCACAUACUAUACACACACAGUCAUUACACAUGCAACCAUGGCACACACACUCACAUACUACACACACACAGUCAUAACACAUGCAACCAUGGCACACACACUCACAUACUACACACACACACAGAGUCAUAACACAUGCAACCAUGGCACACAUACUCACAUGCUAUACACACACACAGUCUUAACAUAUGCAACCAUGACACACACAUACUCACAUACUACACACACAAUCAUAACACAUGCAACCAUGGCACACAUACUCACAUACUACACACACACAGUCAUAACACAUUCAACCUUGGCACACAUACAUGCUAUACACACACACAGUCAUAACACAUGCAACCAUGGCUCACAUACUCACAUACCACACACACAGUCAUAACACAUGC
rnacentral:lncRNA from 1 species